rnacentral:rRNA from 1 species
CAGCCGCCGCGGUAACACGUAGGGUGCGAGCGUUAAUCGGAAUUACUGGGCGUAAAGCGUGCGCAGGCGGUUAUAUAAGACAGAUGUGAAAUCCCCGGGCUCAACCUGGGAACUGCAUUUGUGACUGGCAAGCUAGAGUCUGGCAGAGGGGGGUGGAAUUCCACGUGUAGCAGUGAAAUGCGUAGAGAUGUGGAGGAACACCGAUGGCGAAGGCAGCCCCCUGGGCCAAUACUGACGCUCAUGCACGAAAGCGUGGGGAGCAAACAGGAUUAGAGACCCCUGUAGUCCCUGUCUCUUAUAA